CCUACGGGUGGCAGCAGUGAGGAAUAUUGGUCAAUGGACGAGAUUCUGAACCAGCCAAGUCGCGUGAAGGAUGACUGCCCUAUGGGUUGUAAACUUCUUUUAUAUGGGAGUAAAAUGUUCCACGUGUGGGAUUUUGUAUGUACCAUAUGAAUAAGGAUCGGCUAACUCCGUGCCAGCAGCCGCGGUAAUACGGAGGAUCCGAGCGUUAUCCGGAUUUAUUGGGUUUAAAGGGAGCGUAGGUGGUUUUAUAAGUCAGUUGUGAAAGACUGCGGCUCAACCGUAAAAUUGCAGUUGAGACUGGCAGACUAGAGAUCAGUAGAGGUAGGCGGAAUGCGUGGUGUAGCGGUGAAAUGCAUAGAUAUCACAAAGAACACCGAUUGCGAAGGCAGCUCACUGGACUGGAACUGACACUGAUGCACGAAAGUGUGGGGAUCGAACAGGAUUAGAUACCCGAGUAGUC
rnacentral:rRNA from 1 species